CACCUCUCUGCCAGGCCCCUCAUGGCAGCCAAGCCAUGUAUGGUCCUCACUAAAACUAUAAGUUGUAAGAGGCAGAGAUUUUAAAGGAGGGAAGAGAAUGAGAAAGGGAGGUGAGAAAAGGAGGAGAUAAUCCUCCCUAGGCUCCUCCUUGACCCCCUUGAACUACCUCAUCCAAACUACCAAGCCUCUUCCACUUGCACAUCUGGUUUACAGUGUGCCCUAGGGGCUGCUUUUAUACCACCAGGGUGUGGCUGCAAAAUGGUGGCAACGCCCUACUUAAACGGUCUGCUGCUGCUGCCCUUAGCUCUGUUUGCAUCUUGUCAGCAUCCCUUGUAAUGGCUGUUGGGGUCUGGUGGCUGCCUCAGCUGCCUUAAGUGGCCUCUAUGCUGGAAAAAAAAAGCCCUGACUGCCUCAAUUCCCCCUCGGUUGAAGAAUGUAUCUGCCCUGGAGCUGAUUUCCUUGUUGUAUUGUAUUUAGAGAGGGCCAACCUCCCACUGUCCACAUCUGCUUUCAAUUCACAAGCAGUUGGUCAAGAACAGAGAAAAUAUUGGAACCUCUGUGUAUUUUCCUUCCUUUUCUGAGCUCUCAGAGAAAGAGCCUUAAUGUGACCUCUAUCUCAUAAUGCUUCACACCCGCUCCUCUUUAGAAGCUCAUGGCUGUGGAUAAGUGCAAGUGCAAUAUUCUUCUCUUCAAGAAUUUUCAGCCACUGUGUACUUCAAAUAACCUGAUGUGUAGUUCAGGAUAUUUUCGGAAAUACUUUUGUGCUUGCUUUACACUACAUACCCACCUGUUGUAAAAUAUAAUUAAGCAUAUGUAUUUAUAUACACAUGCCUAUAAUGAUUUGCAAUCCAUAUGUACAAAGAAGCAAGUUUUCAAAUUAUUUGCCAUGCUCCAUUCUAUCAGGAGUCCCCUCUGCAAGAUGACAGCGUAGCUGUUCAAUGUUAUUGUCUAGUCAACAUCUCAAUCUCUCUCUAUAUGGCUUUGUAUAAAUUGUUUUAAUUUCUUACUUGAUAUGUUAUAGUAAUAAAAUUAAUGUGUUUCAAAAACA
rnacentral:lncRNA from 1 species